AUCUCCUGCAGUUGCUGCUGAGGCUGCUCCCUCACCCAAUCCCCUCCCGUGCUCCCCUCGACCCACCAAGGCUGUCCUCAACGAGCACGAAUCUUCCCACAAGGAUCCUCUCAUGGUGUAAAGCAGGUCCCCUCAACCAUGAAUCCAUGGGUCAGUCCAAGGUCGGGAGAGUCGGUGCUCAUCACCCAGAUUCCUUUGCUUGUUAUAUAGUAUGAGCCACCAAGCAGGACCAGAUCUUUUAAAACUGAAUAGUCAUAACUCUGGAUUGAUGAUGUGGCUAGCGCUGGAUAUUUUGAUUAGAUAAGGUACAUUUGGUGUAGGUUGAUCUCAAACUUUACGGAUGGUUUCUCCCUCUCUAUGAUAUGUUUAUCUGGGAAUAUAUAUACAUAUAUCUGUCGUGAUUCACCAUGCAGAUUCCCCAGCUCAAAGACUUUUGCAGCAGAGGUAGCAUAGGUAUCUGCAUAAUCCCAGAGAAAGUUAUAUAUUUCUUCUUCCUUGGUGCCGGCAACUUGUCUAUUUUUAUUAAAUGUGCAUGCGAUGGUGAGAAGGGCCUAACGCCGCAGACAUGUGAGUUCUCAUCAAAAUAUGUAGUACCUAUCAUAAUUUUGUGAUUUUGCGUCAUGCUCA